CAAAAGUGAGUGUUGAUGACUGAGAUUGGCUAGUUAAGGAACAUUAUUUUUCUUCAAAAUUUCAGAAAGCAAGCCAACAAAAUACACUUAACAGAGG